rnacentral:rRNA from 1 species
GAAGUAGCAAUACUUAGUGGCAGACGGGUGAGUAACAUGUGGGUAUCUGCCCUUUGGCCUGGAAUAACACGAGGAAACUUGUGCUAAUACCGGAUAAGUCUUUACGGAGAAAGCUUUAUGCACCAUUGGAUGAGCCCGCACUUGAUUAGUUUGUUGGUGGGGUAAUGGCCUACCAAGACUGUGAUCAAUAGCUGAUUUGAGAGGAUGAUCAGCCACAUUGGGACUGAGACACGGCCCAAACUCCUACGGGAGGCAGCAGUGGGGAAUCUUGCACAAUGGAGGAAACUCUGAUGCAGCGAUGCCGCGUGAGUGAAGAAGGCCCUUGGGUUGUAAAGCUCUUUCGUCGGGGAAGAAAAUGACUGUACCCGAAUAAGAAGGUCCGGCUAACUUCGUGCCAGCAGCCGCGGUAAUACGAAGGGACCUAGCGUAGUUCGGAAUUACUGGGCUUAAAGAGUUCGUAGGUGGUUGAAAAAGUUAGUGGUGAAAUCCCAGAGCUUAACUCUGGAACUGCCAUUAAAACUUUUCAGCUAGAGUAUGAUAGAGGAAAGCAGAAUUUCUAGUGUAGAGGUGAAAUUCGUAGAUAUUAGAAAGAAUACCAAUUGCGAAGGCAGCUUUCUGGAUCAUUACUGACACUGAGGAACGAAAGCAUGGGUAGCGAAGAGGAUUAGAUACCCUCGUAGUCCAUGCCGUAAACGAUGUGUGUUAGACGUUGGAAAUUUAUUUUCAGUGUCGCAGCGAAAGCGAUAAACACACCGCCUGGGGAGUACGACCGCAAGGUUAAAACUCAAAUGAAUUGACGGGGACCCGCACAAGUAGUGGAGCAUGUGGUUUAAUUCGAAGAUACGCGCAGAACCUUACCAACACUUGACAUGUUCGUCGCGACUCUAAGAGAUUAGAGUUUUCGGUUCGGCCGGACGAAACACAGGUGCUGCAUGGCUGUCGUCAGCUCGUGUCGUGAGAUGUUGGGUUAAGUCCCGCAACGAGCGCAACCCUCACUUUUAGUUGCCAUCAUCAAGUUGGGCACUCUGAAAGAACUGCCAGUGAUAAGCUGGAGGAAAGGUGGGGAUGACGUCAAGUCCUCAUGGCCCUUACGUGUUGGGCUACACACGUGCUACAAUGGUAUCUACAA